rnacentral:RNase_MRP_RNA from 1 species
UUCAAAGCAGACAUACCGAUCCAUUAUCGUAAGAUACUGAGAUCUUCCGCUUUGGGGAAAGUCCUCGAGCUCUACUCGUAAGGAACACCUGUGAGUGGUUGGAUGGACAGGCAAGACUAGCGAGGAUGGCCGGCUCUCGAGCCGGCCUAGCUUACAGGCUUCCUGCCCAUUUCUGGCUAUAGUUACAGUUAUGCAUUUCUUCUCGUCUCCUUGUGAGGCAGAUGAACUCAACGAGGCUUAUUC